AUGUUGAUCUUUGUACUCAUACCAACCACCCUAUAUAUUUUCCAUCAGAUUUCCUUGAUCAGACAGCAAGGAAACACUGCAUAUCUACUAGCCGCGCCAAAGCUGAGGUACCAGGAUUCCCCUCCCCGCCACCGGCCGCCGGAGAGGCAUGUAGAUGGGAGGCGAAUCCACGGGCUCAUCGGCGGAGAUCAAGGGGAGGAAGGCUUUGCCCUAGUCACCUUACAAGAGGGGAAAGAAAAGCACGUAUAUGACCGUUACAUUAUCUUGACGGCAUCAACACUUAUCAGGGAGAGCUUGGACAUCAUUGCUCGGGCAAAUGUGUCGUGCAUGCUCUCUUGA
rnacentral:rRNA from 1 species